AGCGAACGCUGGCGGCAGGCCUAACACAUGCAAGUCGAGCGGCCCUUCGGGGCAGCGGCGGACGGGUGAGUAACGCGUGUGAACGUGCCCUUUGGUACGGAACAACUGAGGGAAACAUCAGCUAAUACCGUAUGUGCCCUACGGGGGAAAGAUUUAUCGCCAUUGGAGCGGCCCGCGUUAGAUUAGCUAGUUGGUAGGGUAAUGGCCUACCAAGGCGACGAUCUAUAGCUGGUCUGAGAGGAUGAUCAGCCACACUGGGACUGAGACACGGCCCAGACUCCUACGGGAGGCAGCAGUGGGGAAUCUUGCGCAAUGGUCGAAAGCCUGACGCAGCCAUGCCGCGUGAAUGAUGAAGGUCUUAGGAUUGUAAAAUUCUUUCACCGGGGACGAUAAUGACGGUACCCGGAGAAGAAGCCCCGGCUAACUUCGUGCCAGCCGCCGCGGUAAAAC
rnacentral:rRNA from 1 species